rnacentral:rRNA from 1 species
GAUCAUGGCUCAGGAUGAACGCUGGCGGCGUGCUUAACACAUGCAAGUCGAACGAAGCACCUUGAUUUGAUUCUUAGGAUGAAGAUCCUGAUGACUGAGUGGCGGACGGGUGAGUAACGCGUGGGUAACCUGCCUCAUACAGGGGGAUAACAGUUAGAAAUGACUGCUAAUACCGCAUAAGACCACAGCACCGCAUGGUGCAGGGGUAAAAACUCCGGU